UUCUUUUUCUUUUUAUUUUUCUCUAUCUCUAUCUCUAUCUCUGUCUCUGUCUCUAUCUCUAUCUCUAUCUCUAUCUCUAUCUCUAUCUCUAUCUCUAUCUCUAUCUCUCUCUCUCUCUCUCUCUCUCUCUCUCUCUCUCUCUCUCUCUCUAUCUCUAUCUCUAUCUCUAUCUAUCUGUACCUAAACAAACAGUGUGUGCAUGGAGUUGAUCAUUGAAAGCCCAGGC
rnacentral:lncRNA from 1 species